rnacentral:rRNA from 1 species
UACAGAGGAGCCAAGCGUUGUCCGGAUUGACUGGGCGUAAAGCGCACGCAGGCGGUUGCGCGCGUGGGGUGUGAAAUCUGGCCGCUUAACGGCCAGGCGCCAUCCCAUACGGCGCGACUGGAGGGCUGCAGAGGUCGAUGGAAUUGCCGGUGUAGUGGUGAAAUGCGUAGAGAUCGGCAGGAACACCCAGGGGGAAACCAGUCGACUGGGCAGCACCUGACGCUGAGGUGCGAGAGCGGUGGGGAGCGAACCGG